rnacentral:rRNA from 1 species
UACGUAGGGGGCAAGCGUUAUCCGGAUUUACUGGGUGUAAAGGGAGCGUAGACGGCAUAGCAAGUCUGAAGUGAAAGCCCGUGGCUCAACCGCGGAACUGCUUUGGAAACUGUUAAGCUGGAGUACUGGAGAGGCAAGCGGAAUUCCUAGUGUAGCGGUGAAAUGCGUAGAUAUUAGGAGGAACACCAGUGGCGAAGGCGGCUUGCUGGACAGAGACUGACGUUGAGGCUCGAGAGCGUGGGGAGCAAACAGG